rnacentral:rRNA from 1 species
ACCUGCGGAAGGAUCAUUACCGAAGUACAGGCCCUUUUAUAGGGCUACACUUCCACCCUUUGCUUACUAUUCUUUGUUGCUUUGGCGAGACGUCUUCGGACCACCGGCUCUCGGGCUGGUGCGCGCUCGCCAGAGAAAACCCAAACCCAAACCUUUUAGUGUCGUCUGAGAAAUAAGUUUAAUUAUUAAAACUUUCAACAACGGAUCUCUUGGCUCUGGCAUCGAUGAAGAACGCAGCGAAAUGCGAUAAGUAAUGUGAAUUGCAGAAUUCAGUGAAUCAUCGAAUCUUUGAACGCACAUUGCGCCCCUUGGUAUUCCGGGGGGCAUGCCUGUUCGAGCGUCAUUAUCACCCCUCAAGCUCAGCUUGGUGUUGGGGCCCGCCCCUCACAGGGCAGCCCUUAAAAGCAGUGGCGGUGCCAUCUGGCUCUACGCGUAGUAAUACUUCUCGCGACAGAGUCCCGGUGGUGUCCUGCCAGAACCCCCCAUAUAUUUAAUGAUUGACCUCGGAUCAGGUAGGGAUACCCGCUGAACUUAAGCAUAU